CAUGCCUGCGCCAAUAGUUCAAAGGCGCUAAUGGUGGGAGUCAGGGUUGCAGGUUCAAUAGGUUCAACCUUCUGGUCUCCGGAGUUGUUUUCGCUCUGCUGUUACGGUACCCCGGCCCCGGAAUAGGGACGGUGUGGGCCAGGAGGCAGGGGCGAGUGGUUGGGUCUUACGCCUUCUUAAGCGGAGGUUCAGUGGUCUGGCACCAGAUACAUGAGGGUAGUGUGGCUCCUCCCUGUCCUGAGUCAGCUAUCCUGCCUCCUGGGGGUACCGGGUUUUUUUUGUCAUCCAUCUGGCUGGAAUGACCUGGGUUUGGUGAUUGUUUGGGGUUUGGGUUGAUCUUAAAUCUGGACAUGUUACGCAGUCU